AACGCUGGCGGAAUGCUUUACACAUGCAAGUCGAACGGCAGCACGGACUUCGGUCUGGUGGCGAGUGGCGAACGGGUGAGUAACAUAUCGGAACGUAUCCAAUAAUGGGGGAUAACUAAUCGAAAGGUUGGCUAAUACCGCAUACGCCCUACGGGGGAAAGCAGGGGAUCUUCGGACCUUGCGUUAAUGGAGCGGCUGAUAUCUGAUUAGCUAGUUGGUGAGGUAAAGGCUCACCAAGGCGACGAUCAGUAGCUGGUCUGAGAGGACGACCAGCCACACUGGAACUGAGACACGGUCCAGACUCCUACGGGAGGCAGCAGUGGGGAAUUUUGGACAAUGGGCGCAAGCCUGAUCCAGCCAUUCCGCGUGAGUGAAGAAGGCCUUCGGGUUGUAAAGCUCUUUCGCAAGGGAAGAAAACUUACCUUUUAAUAAAGGGUGAGGUUGACGGUACCUUGAUAAGAAGCACCGGCUAACUACGUGCCAGUAGCCGCGGUAAUACGUAGGGUGCGAGCGUUAAUCGGAAUUACUGGGCGUAAAGCGUGCGCAGGCGGUUUUGUAAGUCAGAUGUGAAAUCCCCGAGCUCAACUUGGGAACUGCGUUUGAAACUACAAGACUAGAAUAUGUCAGAGGGGGGUAGAAUUCCACGUGUAGCAGUGAAAUGCGUAGAGAUGUGGAGGAAUACCAAUGGCGAAGGCAGCCCCCUGGGAUAAUAUUGACGCUCAUGCACGAAAGCGUGGGGAGCAAACAGGAUUAGAUACCCUGGUAGUCCACGCCCUAAACGAUGUCUACUAGUUGUUGGUGGAGUAAAAUCCAUGAGUAACGCAGCUAACGCGUGAAGUAGACCGCCUGGGGAGUACGGUCGCAAGAUUA
rnacentral:rRNA from 1 species